UUUAGUAAUAUACAUAUGUGAAACAUCGCGAGUAUAUCACGACGACGACUGAGUUUCCGGAGCUUGUUUCUCUGCAUACAUUACAGUAGAAUUUUAUAAAUAACCACGAUCUCGCAAUAAGCAUUUACAAACUUCAUACUUUUCUAUUAAGCAUCUGUGAACUCUUCUUCAGCAGAACUUCAUAAUUUUUAGAGUUCUUAAGUAAAGACCUCAUACUCUUCAAAAACUUUUAUACUCGCGAGAUGAAUUGUGGAACAUUCUUUUCGUCUUGGAACGGAAACGUACAAAGAAAAGGCUCUAACCGAGCUCGUGAAUGAAGAUGAGUAACGUACAUUGCUCAAAACUUGUAACCAUUACAAGAAGCCAUCCUACGUAAAAGAUGGAACGAGAGAUUAUGUGUCUCCCCUUUGCCUCCAGCCUUGAUACGUCCCUGGACGAGCACGCUGCUGUCCUUGGAACUUCCUUUGGUCCCGGGAGAGCUUCCGAGGGAAAUCCGGACUUCCCAUCCGCGACUACAGACGACCCAACUUCUUCGUGGCUUGUGAUGUUUUUAAGCUUAUACUUUAUGAAAGAACAUCUACCUUCCACGGGAAAAAGAAAACGUUAAACAAAGUUAAUACUGCUUUCUUGUUGCGGGAGACAACGUAUAAUAAUCAAAUCUUAGAGUAGCCACAUUUCAAGUUGAAUUUGACGAACUUUUAAAUCGUUUCAGCUGGAAUUGUAUGAAUUGUUGAAUCGUUUAAUAUACGAACGUUAAUGACUUGUAAUUGAUAACUUCGAAUGUUUAUAAAAUUUCGACACCGUUUCAAAAGACACAAAUAUGGACUUAUCAUCUAUAAGAUUUUAAGUUGCUUUUAAGAGAGUUCAUCUGAACUAUUUCACGUAAUAUGAAGACAUUUGUGUAAUUUUUGCGUUGUCAUUAAUCGGUCUUGUUUUUUAUAUUUGCAAUGCAAUGAAUAUUUUUGUGGAGUGUUUAAAAUAAGAUGUGAAUAUUGAAAUAAUUUUAUGGUUGCUCACUGGUGUACGUAUAUGCUUCGCGAAUUAAAAUACCAACAAUAAGAGGAGCUUUAAUCAUUCUGAUUGUUGAAUAGAGAACGCAUAAGAAAUGAUUCAAACUUUGCUCCAAUUAUAAUUAUAAUUCUUUGCUAACAUUGAUAGUUAUAUUAUUAAAAAAUCAUACAAGCGUUAAAGAUAGAAUGAAGAUAAAAAUAUUACUUCUUACAUUUUCAAAAUAUAGGUACAU